AGGGCGGUGACCUAUAGAGGAUGAUGGACAAUUCUGAUAAAGAAACAAUGAUAAAGUGCUGCUCUUGGAUCAGAAUGGCUUGAACAGGUCUUUCUACAGAUGACAGAUAAGUCAGUGACAGGUCCAUGUGAUGGGACUACAAGUGCCCCCUCCCCCCCUGUGUGUGUUGGGGGCUGAUGGGCAGGAGGUGCUGGGCCAGUGUUGGGGGGUGCUGGGUGCACUGCACAUGGGGAGGUGCUGAAACUGACAGCUCCCAGGACCUGAGGGGGAGGAGACAGGACAGUCCCGGGUAAGAACAUGCAGCCUCGUCGCCUCAGCAAGCGCUCCGUGCUGGGCAAUAAGCUGGGCACUGCCAAGGCGCCUUCUUCUUCUAGAUGUGGCAUGAAGGAGACGCUGCCAGCGCUGGGCACGGGGUCAUCUGCAGGGCACGGACGUGGCGAGGAGGAAGAGGACGACGAGGAGGAGAUCGAUGUGGUGCAGGACGAGGAGGCACCGAGAACCUCAUGCCCCGAAUCUGCCAGGUGUCCGUACCAGGGAACACGAGUAAAAUCUUCCUGGCAGUCUAAAGAACAACAGGCAGACUUCAGACAAAGUAUUUACGUGACCCCCGAGUUCAAUGUCCACGCUACAGAAUGUAAGGACAUGUCGUCCGUGGUCCUGAGCAAUGCAAGUAGAUCAGCGGACUCCGAACAGGAACUGAGACAGGAAUGCACAAGAUCCGUCUGCUUAUUGGAGCAGAAAAGAAAGGUCGUCUCAUCCAACAUUGAUGUCCCACAAGCAAGGAAAUAUGAAGAUGAGUUAGACAUGGACAAGGUGACAGCUGCCAUGGUUCUCACCAGCCUUUCUACCAGCCCCUUGGUUCGAAGCCCACCAAUCCGAUUUACUGAUGUGAAUGAAUCUUGGAAAGACCCCGGGUAUAUCCCUUCCAGUUCCAGCAGCAGUGGUUAUUGGAGCUGGAACACAACAAGUGACUACUCUAAUCCAUCGACUCCAUCCCCGCCGCUAACUGCUGAUAACUCCAAGCACUUCCGAUCCACGGUUUAUCCUGAUGACGCCCCCGAUGAUACAGACAAUGGGAACAUGCUUUUCGAAGACCCUGUUCCGAGAAAAAGAAAGAACUCAAUGAAAGUGAUGUUCAAAUGUCUCUGGAAGAAAUGCGGGAAAAUACUGAGCACCGCAGCAGGAAUCAAGAAGCACAUCAGGACCAUUCAUCUUGGACGUACUGGAGAUUCCGAUGACUGUGAUGGAGAAGAAGACUUUUACUAUACAGAGAUCAGGUUUAACAAUGACGCUGGUGCUGAAGGACUAUGCAGCCUCCCGCUUAUAUCUCCGUCUUUUGCGUCACCUCCCUCUACAAUACUUUUUCCAAAUGCUGGAAGCUGCGACUCUAUAUAUAGCAAGACAGAGACCAAACUAAAUGGCCGCCUCAGCAGAUCAGCACCCAACACCUUUUACCUAGUACAGUCCGAUCAUGCUUAUCAGGUCUGUCUUCCUUGUAAUACUAGUACUGAGGAGUAUAUUCCAUCAGUUCAUACAGUGAGAUCUUCCCCUCCUAGAGCUGGUGUGGCAGUAAGCAGAAAGCCACGUGGCGAAGGCAAGAAAUGUCGCAAGGUGUACGGGAUGGAGAACAGAGACAAGUGGUGCACAGCCUGCCGCUGGAAAAAAGCUUGUCAGAGAUUUCCUGACUGAAGGCCGCGCCAAUCUCACCUGCAUCAGACACUUCAGAUGAAUGAACUGCGCUCAUGGAAUAAUGUACACGGUCUAGAAUAAGCUCAUCCAGAGUCCAGCAAAGCAUUCGUGCUCCACUGGAUCAUCAGGGAAGACAUGGGUUCUUACAGAGGUUACAUAUUGAUAAAACUACGGGGAUGUCCAAUCUUGGAUUGCAUGAUGAUUUAUGGGCUCUGCACUGCUCAGCUUUUCUACAAAUUUACACGUUGUUGGUGCAUUUCUUACACAAGCAAAAAAAAGUUACUGAAAACCAAUUGAUGUUCUUUUAUACAAACCACCAUAACUCUUUUCUUUGGGCUACUUGUUUAUGUAAAAGAAGAACUUAUUCCAUAAGUAUUGAAUAUCUAUGAAGAUGAGAAGACACGCCAAGCAAAAAGAUAAUGGCUUGUCGUGAGCAAAAUAAGUAAAGAUGGCUCGGGCUCUGAUUGUAGUGAAAGAAGAUAAAGCGUGCCCCAGACAUACAAAAAAUGAUGUACUGAAGUGUGGGUAUUAAGCAUAUCCUCGGGCGGUGCCAUUUUGUGAUAUAAAUGUUUAAGCUGCUGGUACAUGACAUACCCAUGUGUACUUACAUUGUGACCACCAUUCUUCCAUAAGUGCUCUUUUAUUCUCUUCCUAUGGACUGUUUUCUAUGAGCUAGUUUUGCUGAUAGCAUUGACUGUUACCCAUUAGCGGCACUUUCAGUGAAGCAGAUAUAUGGGGCCAUGAAUCUAUCCGUGGUUCGGGCCUACUGCACUUUGUUUCACAGUAACAUUUUUUACAUGUUUUUAGAUUUUUGGAGUGGACGUAUCACCUACCCACAGUGAAGGUGGUGAUAGCCUAUUAGCUAAUAGUGCCAACCUCUACACAUGAGAUACAAACACGUGUCUCGCAUUUGUUUAUUGAUGGAAAAUUGGAUCCUCCCUCCAUAUCUUCCUUCCUUAUGUGUAUGUAAUAUGUCCACGUUAGUUUUAUACUGUGAAUAAUAUAUAAACAAUUUCAUGCAUAUUACUUUAUAAACCCAGAGCUGUGCCCAUGAUGUUCAGGUGAAUGUACAGUUACCCUUCCAUUAUCCUUACAUCUGCCUGUUAUGAUUCAUUUAUUUGAAACCCAAAUGGCAUUACCCUAAACAGACGCCACAGAAACCAUUGAUCCAUGCUUCUUAUUGUUGGUGAACUUACAUAUGAACAGUAUUAGUGUUGUUUGUGGAACUGUGUAAGUCCCAGACCCUGUUUCUUUAUUGCGUAUUUGAUGUGGACUGUUGUAGUUGUCUCACAAGUCUUCAUCCCCUUCAGUUGCUGAUCUACGCACAAACAGAAUAUGAUACACACGGAAAUGCACUCGUUUUUCAAUUACUGGAAAACCCAGUAAACAGAAGAAAGAAUAGAAAAGAUUCAAAAAGUGAAAGAAUGGAAAAAAAAUACAAAACACAUGAUCUGGACACAUCAAAUAUGAGAGAUCACUUAGGUAGUGGUUAUAUUGUCAUAUUUGCCAUAUUCCAUAUAUUGAUUCAUAGUGUCCUAUAUGGACUGUUAAACCGCCAAACAAAUGACAUUUGAAGUUAUUACACACUCAAAUUAUUACACAAAUACAUGAGUAAAUGUCUAGAUAUAUAUGUCUCAGUAAGAGUUUUGUUUCUGGCCUCCAGCUAGGUACACUUCUCAGAAACGUUGUUUUUUAAUUGUAAAGAUGGAAUUAAAGGGGUAUUCCGGCCUUAGACAUCUUAGACAUCCAAAGGAUAGGGGAUACGAUGUCUGAUCGUGGGGGGCCUGCCGCUGUCUAUAGGAGGCGGCGUGAAUGGAGAGGGGGGGUGGCGUAACGUCACAAGGGGGCGUGGCAUGACGUUACGUCGCCAAUCCUGCACAGAGAUCACGGGGGUCCCAUCGUCGCGCCCCCCCCGAUGAUCAGGCAUCUUAUCCCCUAUCCUUUGGAUAGGGAAUAAGAUGUCUAUGGCCGGAAUACCCCUUUGAUCAUACAUUUGCAAAUUCAUAAAAAAUGUCCUAACAUUUAUCUGUUGCGCAGAGAAAGAUAAAAAUUGUCCAUGAGACAGACGUUGUGCUCUUUCUGAGUUAGAGAUAGCCUCAGGGCAGGAAUGGGUGUUGUACACAGCAGAUACUUUCUCUCUACACCUGUACAAAGCCCAUGUGAUUCUCCCCUGCAAACUGCCUAUUGUCUGCUUUCCUUCCUAUCUACAGUCUGUGUGAGCUGCUCUCCAUGUAUGCUCACUCAACUCUCCACAUUCUGAGCUUCUAUGUACAACCCCGAUCAUUACUGCUUUCUGUAACACUUAGUGGAAAUCCUCCUUGAUGAUUUUUUUCUUAUCUUUCUCUGAGCAGCAAAAUGGUAGAACAUUUUUAAUGAAGACUAUUUAGAAAUUCAGAAUUUAGGGAACAAAUAAUUAUAAAAACAAAAUUUGUGAAAAGGAGUCUAUAGCCUUUAAAUGUGAUGAAAAAUGACAAUUUCAACCAAAAGAACUGUUCAUUGGGUGAAAUUUAACAAAUGAAUGAUCAGCUUAGCUGACCGAUAACAGACUGUCAUGUCAUCUUCUGGAAAGAAGUUGGCCGGGUUUGAUAUUUUCGGCUGACAGUAAAAAAGGUUUUAUGUUCAAAGAAGGUAUUUCCUCCACAAAGGAUUGAGAAAAUAAUAUUCUCAGAACUCCUGAUCGUCCUGUUUGAAAGGGCCAGCGAUCAGCUGACGAAACAGAAAACCCAUGUUCAUUGGCCAACUGGAUCUUUUGUGCAGGCAUUUAAAUCAUUGUUAUUGGCCGCACACUGCUCUGUAUUAAUUGGUGAUAUGCGGCCAACAAUGAUAAAAAGGGCCACAUGAAUGAUCCAAAAAGGACCACAUGAAUGAGCUGUGAAAGGGCCUAAAGUGUGCAAUACCCCUGUAGCAUCACUGCAGGGACAUUUUUGAAUUACAUUGUGCCCAUUAAAUUUAAUGGGUUUUCUGUGUAACACUAGACCUCCAGAGGUGCUAUUUGCAAUUGUUUUACAUUUCUUAUGAUUAGAUAAGGAUCUUGCAUAGGACUCCCUUGUAUAAACUAGACAACCCUUGUAAACAUACUGGGCAGUCAGUGUAGGUGCAAAAGUGCAAACCUCUGGUGUUUACCCUAUGCCGUCCUUGAGCAAAGUCCAGUAGGGGUCAUGUAUGAAAUUGUUUACGAAAUGGCAUAAAGAUGUAUCACAGACAUUUAUGUCAUAUCAACAGGUUGUGUCCUAAAGGUCUGAUAGAUCUUAAAAAAAGCAAUAACCUGUCACCGAUCCUCUGUGGGUGCUGUUCUGACAGUGCCUAGGAUUUCCUGCUCUCAAAUUGGAAAUGCCUCCUCUAGCCAAUUGGGACAAUGUCGUGGCUAGUGAUUGGCUUAUAGGACUUUUCCUAUUGAGAGGAGAUCAGGAAGCACUGAACAGUAAGGCCCGGUCUGUCAGAUGGCCAAUAGUAGGUUAGUGAACUCCUCCACCUGGACAACCCCUCCAGUGCCUAUAUAAGCAAAUUUGGUUAUAUAAAAUAUAUAUACGGUAUAUAAUAUAUGACCUGAAUGCCUUCUCCUUCUAUGACAACAAUACAUAAUUUUAAAGGAAACGUGGCCAGAAUUAUUUAAUAACUUGGCUCAGAUAGUAAUUUCACCAGAACAGUAGGCAGUGCUGUUGGAUCAUUUUUCUUUGUCUUAUUGUGACCAAACUGUUUUGUCUUUGUGUAUAGCCCCUAUACAAAUACAAUAUAUUUUUUACAAUUAUGGAGACCUAUGGUGGCCAACUUCACAAGAUCAUGAGGCUAAGGAUGUGACAACUACUCCCUGCUUACCAUAAAUAAAAACCUUAAAUGGUACUCCGCCCCUAGAUGUCUAAUUGCUCGGCUGCGGCACCACAGACAUCCAGAGCACGGAGCAAACUUUGCUCCGUGCCGGAUGACUGGCGAUGCGGGGCGGAGGCUCGUGCCGUCUUAUCCCCUAUCCUUUGGAUAGGGGAUAAGAUGUCUAGGCGCGGAGUACUGCUUUAACCUUAUGAUGUGUGGAAACAUGGUCCUGACAGAUUUUUCCUAGCACUACAUGGACCAGUUAUUCUGAGUUUGCAAAUAGAAUUAGAGUUUUUGUCUAUACAAUUCUCUGCACUUAUUAUUGAAUUGCACAUAAUAUUAAUCAGAUUUUUUUGCACUUUUUUGACAUUCUCUAUGUAUUGCGACUCAUUACUUUCAGAUAUUUUCCAAUGUGACAACAUGGGCGAACGACGUUUGUCUUACUUUACACUCUUUCCUUUAAUUUUUGGAAAGUCUUUGUAACCCACAGCAAUGAGGAAUGACUCAAUCCAUUACUCAAUGUGCUGCAUCAAAGCCAACAUCUGCUUAGAGUAACUGUGGGUUUGUGCUCUUUGCAGCAAGUUAUUAACCCCAUAGAAAUUAAUAAAAGUGCUAAUUAAAUGAAAGGAUUAAUACAUUUAAUUUAACUAUGCAAACGAACAAUUAAUCCCACAUGUGAUAAAAAAGUAUUUAGGAAUAUUUUACUUAUUAAGUUCCCGGGGGUCUUUUCUUAUUAUUGUUGUCUUAAAGGGGUAUUCCCUUUCAAUUUGCAUAACUCCUAUUGAUUUUAAUGGGAGUUGCAUAAAUGGCGUAGCCUGUUUGUUUUUUUUUUUUUUUUUUUUUUACCAAACUCUGGCAAACCCUUAUUGUUUAUAUGUUGUAUGUUAACUUUUAGGUUGCAUUUGUUAAAGGGGUAUUCCAGAUUUUUUUUCUUUAGCCUUUGAGUCUAUAAUGCCAAGUUAUAAUACAGUGUAAUUAGCUUUUAUAACCUCAAUGUGGCACAGUGUCCAUUUUUCAUGCACUGGACCCACAAGUUUAGAGCAAGUCUUUUUAUUUUACCGUUGUCUCUGACCUUUCCCAGCAUUCCAUGUGUCCAGGGAAAAUCUGUCAUAAGUCACAUGGUCUCCAGGGGGCGUGGCUAUGCAGAAGUUGAUGGAUAGCAGGGUGGAAGGGAUUUUUCUAAGGCAUUGGUUCUCAACCUGGGGUACAAGUACCCCCAGAGGUUCUCCAGGGGGCACUUGAAAAAAAAUCAGUUAUGGCAGCCACAGUCACUGGUUACUGGUCUGGAAAGAAAUGGUAGGCUGGCGUCACUGCACCGAGGAACGGAGCACAAGGACAGCAAAGGGGAAGCGCGGGCACUGGGCUGCUGUGGGCAGUAACUACCAUCAGCUUUGUUGCUCAACUGCCCCUGCAGCCCAGGGACCUACUGCUAUGAGCCAUAGCAAUAUGUCCCCAGACCAGUGGAGCACCAAAGCGGGGCAGUAUGGUUGCCUACAACUAUAUAUGGGGGCAGUUUGGGGGCCUACAGCUAUAUUUGGGGGCACAGAGGGGGCUUAACAGCUUUAUGGGGACGCAAAGUGGGUACUAUUACUGUGUGUUACUAUAAACAUGGGGUGUUAGUAAAUAGGUGGGUAUUGUACUGCAGAAAGGAGCCUAAAAUGUUUGGCUUGUUCUAUGGAGAAGUCUUGUAUGGGAAAGAAAACUUAAUGGCGGUCUAGGCCAGAAAGUAAAGAAAAGUAAACAACUCGAGUUAGGAAAGACGUCACCUGUAAAUUGGGGGACUGGGGAGAUGGGGAGAAGAACAGGGGGCCUGUUAUAGAGGAAAGUUAAGCAUAUGAAUUAUAGUAUAAUCAUUACAAAAUGUCUCUAAUAUGGAGUUGCAAUUUUUUGGGGAUUGGGCUGUCAAGGGGUACUCAGGCAAAAAAGGUUGAGAACCACUGUACUAAGGUAAUGCUAUCCCCCACCCACUGCAGCACAGUCACGCCCCCUGCAGACCAUGUGGCUUAUGACAUAUUGUCUCUGGCACAGUGGGAUGCUGGGAAAGGUCAGAGACAACAGUUAAAUAAAAGUGUGGGUGUGGGUUCCAUAAACACGGAUGUAAUAGAAGUAUAUUACACAGUAUUAGAACUUGGCAUAAUGGGCUCAAAGGAUAUCCGAAAGAAAUAUGAAAUACCCCUUUUAUUACAAGUUGUAAAGCAAGAACACAUGAGCAAGACUUGAAAGACCAGAAUAGCCAUUUUGACAUGUGUCAAUACCAGUUAUUGUAUUGUUUCAUAUCCCUUGAAUUUCAAGCAUAAUAUAUCAUAUUUUUCAGAUAGUACCUGCACAGAUGCAGAUCCCCUAGCUGCUAUGGGACCCAAGAAGAUAGUGGGCCUCAUGGGUGGUGUUAACCUAUGCAAGUCUUGUUCUCUCAAGAGACAGGCAGCAUUAGACAACAAAGCGGACCAAAAGUGGCCCGAGAGUCAUGCCACUCUUUACCCCUACAGAGGAAGGCCGGACAGAGCUGGAAGAAGGAAACCGGGAAGGUCUUAUAAAGAUUUUGACUGCAGAAAGUUCUAUGUGCACAAUAAUGAUGAUAUAUCUAUCCCUAUACAUUAUAGUUGUAUAUUGUAUGUGAAACUAUUGAUAUGUUUGGAUACUUAUAACCCCCCUCCCCCCUUAAAUGUAAAUGCUUACAUGUUAUUAUUCUUUAUAUAAUAAACUGAAUUCCAUUUGCACU